rnacentral:misc_RNA from 1 species
AACGCACAUUGCGCCCGCCAGUACUCUGGCGGGCAUGCCUGUCUGAGCGUCAUUUCAACCCUCGCCCCCGGCUUCUGUCGGAGGCGGUGUUGGGGAUCGGCCUCCCGUCUUCCGGGUGGCCGGCCCCGAAAUUGAGUGGCGACCACGCCGUAACCUCCUCUGCGUAGUAGUUAAACACUCGCGGGCGGAGAGCGGUGCGGCCUGCCGUAAAACCCCCAACUCUUCUAAGGUUGACCUCAGAUCAGGUAGGAAUACCCGCUGAACUUAA